GGGUUGGUAGCUCAGUUGGUAGAGCAGCGGACUUUUAAUCCGUUUGUCGCGGGUUCGACCCCCGCCCGACCCACCA
rnacentral:tRNA from 2 species